UUAAGCGACUAAGCGUACACGGUGGAUGCCCUGGCAGUCAGAGGCGAUGAAGGACGUGCUAAUCUGCGAAAAGCGUCGGUAAGGUGAUAUGAACCGUUAUAACCGGCGAUGUCCGAAUGGGGAAACCCAGUGCAAUUCGUUGCACUAUCGUUAACUGAAUACAUAGGUUAACGAGGCGAACCGGGGGAACUGAAACAUCUAAGUACCCCGAGGAAAAGAAAUCAACCGAGAUUCCCCCAGUAGCGGCGAGCGAACGGGGAGCAGCCCAGAGUCUGAAUCAGCUUGUGUGUUAGUGGAACGGUCUGGAAAGUCCGACGGUACAGGGUGAUAGUCCCGUACACCAAAAUGCACAGGCUGUGAACUCGAAGAGUAGGGCGGGACACGUGGUAUCCUGUCUGAAUAUGGGGGGACCAUCCUCCAAGGCUAAAUACUCCUGACUGACCGAUAGUGAACCAGUACCGUGAGGGAAAGGCGAAAAGAACCCCGGCGAGGGGAGUGAAAAAGAACCUGAAACCGUGUACGUACAAGCAGUGGGAGCACCUUCGGGUGUGACUGCGUACCUUUUGUAUAAUGGGUCAGCGACUUAUAUUCUGUAGCAAGGUUAACCGUAUAGGGGAGCCGCAGGGAAACCGAGUCUUAACUGGGCGUUAAGUUGCAGGGUAUAGACCCGAAACCCGGUGAUCUAGCCAUGGGCAGGUUGAAGGUUGGGUAACACUAACUGGAGGACCGAACCGACUAAUGUUGAAAAAUUAGCGGAUGACUUGUGGCUGGGGGUGAAAGGCCAAUCAAACCGGGAGAUAGCUGGUUCUCCCCGAAAGCUAUUUAGGUAGCGCCUCGUGAACUCAUCUUCGGGGGUAGAGCACUGUUUCGGCUAGGGGGUCAUCCCGACUUACCAACCCGAUGCAAACUACGAAUACCGAAGAAUGUUAUCACGGGAGACACACGGCGGGUGCUAACGUCCGUCGUGAAGAGGGAAACAACCCAGACCGCCAGCUAAGGUCCCAAAGUCAUGGUUAAGUGGGAAACGAUGUGGGAAGGCACAGACAGCCAGGAUGUUGGCUUAGAAGCAGCCAUCAUUUAAAGAAAGCGUAAUAGCUCACUGGUCGAGUCGGCCUGCGCGGAAGAUGUAACGGGGCUAAACCAUGCACCGAAGCUGCGGCAGCGACACUAUGUGUUGUUGGGUAGGGGAGCGUUCUGUAAGCCUGCGAAGGUGUGCUGUGAGGCAUGCUGGAGGUAUCAGAAGUGCGAAUGCUGACAUAAGUAACGAUAAAGCGGGUGAAAAGCCCGCUCGCCGGAAGACCAAGGGUUCCUGUCCAACGUUAAUCGGGGCAGGGUGAGUCGACCCCUAAGGCGAGGCCGAAAGGCGUAGUCGAUGGGAAACAGGUUAAUAUUCCUGUACUUGGUGUUACUGCGAAGGGGGGACGGAGAAGGCUAUGUUAGCCGGGCGACGGUUGUCCCGGUUUAAGCAUGUAGGCUGGUUAUCCAGGCAAAUCCGGAUAACCAAGGCUGAGGUGUGAUGACGAGGCACUACGGUGCUGAAGUAACAAAUGCCCUGCUUCCAGGAAAAGCCUCUAAGCAUCAGGUAACAUCAAAUCGUACCCCAAACCGACACAGGUGGUCAGGUAGAGAAUACCAAGGCGCUUGAGAGAACUCGGGUGAAGGAACUAGGCAAAAUGGUGCCGUAACUUCGGGAGAAGGCACGCUGGUGUGUAGGUGAAGUCCCUGCGGAUGGAGCUGAGACCAGUCGAAGAUACCAGCUGGCUGCAACUGUUUAUUAAAAACACAGCACUGUGCAAACACGAAAGUGGACGUAUACGGUGUGACGCCUGCCCGGUGCCGGAAGGUUAAUUGAUGGGGUUAUCCGUAAGGAGAAGCUCUUGAUCGAAGCCCCGGUAAACGGCGGCCGUAACUAUAACGGUCCUAAGGUAGCGAAAUUCCUUGUCGGGUAAGUUCCGACCUGCACGAAUGGCGUAAUGAUGGCCAGGCUGUCUCCACCCGAGACUCAGUGAAAUUGAACUCGCUGUGAAGAUGCAGUGUACCCGCGGCAAGACGGAAAGACCCCGUGAACCUUUACUAUAGCUUGACACUGAACAUUGAGCCUUGAUGUGUAGGAUAGGUGGGAGGCUUUGAAGCGUGGACGCCAGUCUGCGUGGAGCCAACCUUGAAAUACCACCCUUUAAUGUUUGAUGUUCUAACGUUGGCCCCUGACCGGGGUUGCGGACAGUGUCUGGUGGGUAGUUUGACUGGGGCGGUCUCCUCCCAAAGCGUAACGGAGGAGCACGAAGGUUAGCUAAUCCUGGUCGGACAUCAGGAGGUUAGUGCAAUGGC
rnacentral:rRNA from 1 species